rnacentral:tmRNA from 1 species
AAAAGAGUAGAUAAACCUGUAGAAGUACGAUGGAUGGGUUUUGGGACAGGGGUUCGAUUCCCCUCAGAUCCACUU